rnacentral:rRNA from 1 species
GGCUCAAGUGAAUUUUCAUGCUGGCCCAUUAUCAAUUCAGCAUCUGGAACCCCCAGGAGGUUUCGGCAAUCCUGAUUUAGAUGUUGUAAAUUUGCCAAUGGGCGCUGAAUUAGCUGAAAUGAACGCAGCGAAUGCAGUAAAUGCAGCAGCUCAGAAUUUGCCAUUUGUUUUAGAUAAUGUAGAAUUGACCACUCAAGCAGCUUCUGCACUGGGUCGCGCCGUUCUUGUAUUUUUAAGACAAGUGUAGCUCAUUUUAAAAUCCAAAGCACCAAAAGUGUUCUUCAAUUUUCACUUGAGAGUUGUUAGAAUUCUUCCAAGCACUCGGCAAUUUAUGUAAACUAGAACAUCGUGCAUUGCCAAAAAGAAAAGUUUUUCUUUUUGGCAAAAGAACCUUAGAAACGUAGAGGACUUAAAACAACUUUUAUGAAAGCUCAACAGUUAAAAUAUAUAAAAAAGUAUUGAACUUUAGUAAGCUGGUUUUUCCUUUUUCAAGAAGGAAAAACCAAGGCAAGAGAUAGAUUUUUUUUGCAAUUUGAAAAUAACGAACAAAAAAAGAUUUUCUAAGAAAAAGGUUCCUCAUUUUUCUUUUAAGAAAAAGAUUUCUUUUUCUUAAAAGAACUGGUUAAUCUCUCAAGUUUCACUUGAGGACAAACGUAAUUGCAAGUUUUUCUUAAAACAAAUUAAGAAAAGAAUUCAAAAAAUUACAAGAAGAUUCUCUUACUGUUUGAAUUCCAUUAAUUACUACCGCAUUUAGAUUUGAGGCUUCCCUUCGACUUUUCAUAAGCUUGUAUACUAAUUCGUUAGCAUUGUCCAACUGCGUUUCCCCCCCAAUCUUGUAAGAUUCACAUGCAUGUACUACUCCAAAGGUUUCCAUUGCUCGUACAUGAGCGUCACCAACUGCUAUACGAAGUCCAUCACAUUCCUGUCCUGCGAGGUUUAGUGCAUGAAGACGGCUUUUUGCAUGUUCCACUUCUGGACUUAGUGUAUGUUUGUGUAAAGGGCUCCAACCUGUAAAUAAACCGUGUUUUUGUUCUAACGUUUUUAAUCGAUCCUCCCAUUCUCGUUUCUUAUAUUUUAGAUAAGAGUCUAAGUUAUUGACCCUUUUUUCAGCGUCUCUCAGAGUUCGGUGGAUGUAUGAAGGCACAGUCGAUGACCUCCCCAAGAAAUCUCCAGAAAACGCUAAAAAGGCCGAACCACCUAGCAGAUUACGCGCCGUCUUUGGGUUUAUAUGUUUCAUAAAGCCAUAAAAGAAAUUUUCGCUCCCAUAUUUAAUUGUUGAAGAAUGAAAAAAAUGACGUUGUACAUCACCCGUUAACCACAAGUGUUCUAUUUUUUUAUUUUCGAGGACAAGGUAUGUCAGAAUUAAAGGUGUGACAAAAAAAUUACGAAUAAAAACGAUGAUGAGUAAAUAAACACCAAUCCAAAAAUGUUCAUUGGUGGAAAACUGAGUUUCCAGUCUAAAGUAAACAAAGACAAAACUAAAAAUUUUGGGAUACUCUUUUUGUAAAAAUCUAAGAUAUUGAACAAAAGAAAAUUGUAAAAAAAAACCGAAAACUGUGUGAAAUUUUUCCAAAAAUUGAGGAAAAAUUUUUAACAAAACAAAAAAAAAACUAUAGGAAUAAAAAACGUCACUACCUGUUAAAGGAUUUUUGAGUAGAAAUUUACAGAACCAAAAAACCCAAAUGUUGAGAAAACUCGCAAAUGCAAGAUUAUGUAAUCCAAUAAAGGAAAAGAGGUUUUUAUCAAAAUAAAGGCAAUUUUUCAACCACAUAAAAUUUCUAAAUAUCUUUGCAAACAAAAUCAAGGUUCUUCUCAAGUGAAGCUUAAGAAGACUAAAAAAAAAAGGAAAACCUCUAGAAAAAAUCUAGAGGUUUAAAGUGAGUUAGUACGAGUUAGCUAUCAUAUCACUAUGAGUACACAUCUCGCCUAUUACGUAGUAGUCUUCUACGACUCAAAAACUUGUUUCGAGAAACGAAUUCCUGCUUGAGAUGCUUUCAGCAGUUCUACGUUCCGAACGUAGCUACUCAGCGAUGCUGCUGGCGCAACAACUGAUACACUAGAGGUUCGUCAUUCCCGGUCCUCUCGUACAAGGGAAUGGUUCUCUCAAUUUUUACCACCCGAAAAAGAUAGGAUCCGUACUGUCUCACGACGUACUAAACCCAACUCACGUACCGCUUUCAUCGGCGAACAGCCGAACCCUUCGAACCUUCUUCAGCUCGAGGAUGCGAUGAGUCGACAUCGAGGUGCCAAACGACUCCGUCGAUAAGAGCUCUUGGGAGUCAUCAGCCUGUUCAAUUUUGUUAUCGUAAAAGUUCUUUAUCUUUUACUUCUCUAUGUUUCCAUAAAGUUCAGACUAUGUCAUCAACUCUUUCUGUCACUCAUGAAGAGUUUUUUCAGUGAAACUCAACGGUAAUUUAUAACGCAUUGAUGGAAUAAGAUAAGGAUCUAGUAAACACAUCAUUUUGUCAUAACUCAACGCCGAAAUUACUAUGAGAAACCCCUUUUUAUUUGGUUUUGGCCAACAAUGAAGACCAAAUUUUUGAGUCAAUCCGUCACAUAACAGUCUCACGUUAGUGAGAGUAAAUCCUUGAGUAUUGAACACAAAACCUUUUCUUUGAUAAUCUUUAUUAUAACAAGAUUUCCCACCAUCAUCCAUCCACCAAUAGGCAAGACUGCGAGGUGUUACAUACUUUUGUAUAAAAUCUGGUUUGAUCGUCUUUUUACAAGACAAACCAUCAUCAUCGAUCACAAAAAGCUGAGCGAUUUUGUUAAAAUCACAAUGCGAAAAAGUUUGGAAACUCCACAUUUGACGUUUUUCAUUGAAAAAAGGUGGGGAAAGCACCCAGUCAGCGAAAACAUCAUGUAAAUGCAAGAGAUACUCACGAUGGAGUUUCUCUGCUUGUGAAAAUUUCAAACGAUAGCUCAAUCCGCCAUUUUGUGUUUGAAGACUAGCAUCACCUAACAUGACACCAAGUGCAAUUUCAAAAAGUGGUUGAGAUAAAGUCAGUGUCUUUUUAUAGACUUUCAAGAGAUGUCUCUGUUUUGGAUUUGGUUUUUCCAUAAGGACAUAUUUUUUUAGAGUUGCUGGGCGCUCGUGGAGAAAUUAUUGGGAGGAAUUCCUCAUUCUCUAGUCGUUGAACGUUCAUUUCUACUCUGUAGUUCCAUUCGAAAUGCUUCGCUGCAAGUUGACAUGGCAUGACUCUCUUGAGAAGGAGAAACACACUGUAGCGUUCUUGCAAUUCACCCAGUCUAUUUAUCUUAAGAACACAGUUCUUAAGAAACGCUAUGAUCCUUCUCACGAAGGAUUAGGACUAACAGUUAAUCCCUAGCGUACCUUUGAUCCGUUGAUCGAGAGCCUUUCCACCAAGAA